AGUUUGAUCCUGGCUCAGUAAGGGGCGACUAACUCUGUGCCAGCAGUCGCGGUAAUACAGAGGCCCCGAGCGUUAGGCGGAAUCACUGGGCUUAAAGCGUGUGUAGGUGGAUGACCAAGUACUUUGUGAAAUCCCACGGCUCAACCGUGGAACUGCUUGGUAUACUGGUCGUCUUGAGGCAUUCAAGGGCGAGCGGAACUGACGGUGGAGCGGUGAAAUGCAUAGAUAUCGUCAGGAACGCCAAUGGUGAAGACAGCUCGCUGGGAAUGAACUGACACUGAGACACGAAAGCUAGGGUAGCGAACGGGAUUAGAUACCCCGGUAGUCCUAGCCCUAAACGAUGUCCACUGGGUCGUGGGUGUUUCACACUCUCAUGGCCGUAGAAAAAUCAUUAAGUGGACCGCCUGGGAAGUACGGUCGCAAGGCUAAAACUCAAAGGAAUUGACGGGGGCUCACACAAGCGGUGGAGCAUGUGGAUUAAUUCGAAGCAACGCGCAGAACCUUACCUGGGUUUGAAUAGCUAGGAUUAUCCCGAUGAAAGUCGGGUACACCCUUCGGGGCGGAACUAGUACAGGUGCUGCAUGGCUGUCGUCAGCUCGUGUCGUGAGAUGUCGGGUUAAGUCCCUUAACGAGCGAAACCUUUACCCUUAGUUACCAGCGGGUUAUGCCGGGGACUCUAAGGGGACUGCCGGUGUCAAACCGGAGGAAGGUGGAGAUGACGUCAAGUCCGCAUGGCCUUUAUGCCCAGGGCCUCACACGUGCUACAAUGGGUAGGACAAAGCGAACCGAUGCCGCGAGGCGGU
rnacentral:rRNA from 1 species